UAUAUCUUCUGCAAAGCAGAAAUUCAUUCUAGGCAGCAUCAGAAUCAAAACUUCGAAAGACAAGUUGUUGCUAACAAAGGUGCAUUAGGCAAAGAAAAUGCUCCGGAAAGGCCGCCUUUUGGACCUGCUGUUUACGACCUUCAUUACAGCACAUUACAUGCUGUACAUUGCUCAUUGCGAAGUUAAAAUACAACACUGCGAAGUUAAGAAUGGUUCUUGUGUCUAUGGUGGGAAUAAGACGGUAAAAGAUGGGUAUGAUAUCCUAUCGAAACCACCAAAUUGCACCCAAUGGGUAUGCAAUGUAUCAGCGGAAGCAUUUGUGAUUACCGGAUCGAGAAGUGAACACCGAAUGCCGACAUCAGUAUAAGCCGUGUGCUGAUUUCUCUAGAGAUAUGCGCUCAAGCAGGCAAGCACACCCGGCUGCGCAUUGUUUUUAGUCAUGCAGCUGCCCCACCACAUUCGCCCCCAUAGUUUUUUCGUUUAAGGAAAUAUGGCUGUCACGUAUAGGCCUCCCAACCUUGGCCAGGGGGCGCUGCACCGCUCGCGUUUCGCGCGUUUCGACUGGCAUGGUGGAGGGACGUAUUUUUUGAGCGCUCCUGAUCGACUGCGCAAAUAAGUUGUUUUGCAUGCUUUGAGCUUGCCUUUUUAAUUAAUAAGGCAGUAGUUAAAACCUUUGUAGUACUCAUUACAUUGUACGGCUUUUUCGGGGGUCAGUCACCAGGUAUUCACUGGUUUGUGUCUGCGUGUGUUUGUUUCUGUUUUUUUCUCUUGCCACCACAUGGGGGAGGUGCAUGCACAUUAAACAUACAAACUUUUGUUGUAGA